AGAGUUUGAUCAUGGCUCAGGACGAACGCUGGCGGCGCGCCUAACACAUGCAAGUCGAACGAGCCUGAGAGAGCUUGCUUUCUUGAGCGAGUGGCGAACGGGUGAGUAACGCGUGAGGAACCUGCCUCAAAGAGGGGGACAACAGUUGGAAACGACUGCUAAUACCGCAUAAGCCCACGGGUCGGCAUCGACCAGAGGGAAAAGGAGUAAUCCGCUUUGAGAUGGCCUCGCGUCCGAUUAGCUGGUUGGUGAGGUAACGGCCCACCAAGGCGACGAUCGGUAGCCGGACUGAGAGGUUGAACGGCCACAUUGGGACUGAGACACGGCCCAGACUCCUACGGGAGGCAGCAGUGGGGAAUAUUGCACAAUGGGGGAAACCCUGAUGCAGCGACGCCGCGUGGAGGAAGAAGGUCUUCGGAUUGUAAACUCCUGUUGUUGGGGAAGAUAAUGACGGUACCCAACAAGGAAGUGACGGCUAACUACGUGCCAGCAGCCGCGGUAAAACGUAGGUCACAAGCGUUGUCCGGAAUUACUGGGUGUAAAGGGAGCGCAGGCGGGAAGACAAGUUGGAAGUGAAAUCUAUGGGCUCAACCCAUAAACUGCUUUCAAAACUGUUUUUCUUGAGUAGUGCAGAGGUAGGCGGAAUUCCCGGUGUAGCGGUGGAAUGCGUAGAUAUCGGGAGGAACACCAGUGGCGAAGGCGGCCUACUGGGCACCAACUGACGCUGAGGCUCGAAAGUGUGGGUAGCAAACAGGAUUAGAUACCCUGGUAGUCCACACCGUAAACGAUGAUUACUAGGUGUUGGAGGAUUGACCCCUUCAGUGCCGCAGUUAACACAAUAAGUAAUCCACCUGGGGAGUACGACCGCAAGGUUGAAACUCAAAGGAAUUGACGGGGGCCCGCACAAGCAGUGGAGUAUGUGGUUUAAUUCGACGCAACGCGAAGAACCUUACCAAGUCUUGACAUCCCUUGACAGGCAUAGAAAUAUGUUUUCUCUUCGGAGCAAGGAGACAGGUGGUGCAUGGUUGUCGUCAGCUCGUGUCGUGAGAUGUUGGGUUAAGUCCCGCAACGAGCGCAACCCUUAUGGUCAGUUACUACGCAAGAGGACUCUGGCCAGACUGCCGUUGACAAAACGGAGGAAGGUGGGGAUGACGUCAAAUCAUCAUGCCCUUUAUGACUUGGGCUACACACGUACUACAAUGGCGUUAAACAAAGAGAAGCAAGACCGCGAGGUGGAGCAAAACUCAGAAACAACGUCCCAGUUCGGACUGCAGGCUGCAACUCGCCUGCACGAAGUCGGAAUUGCUAGUAAUCGUGGAUCAGCAUGCCACGGUGAAUACGUUCCCGGGCCUUGUACACACCGCCCGUCACACCAUGAGAGCCGGGGGGACCCGAAGUCGGUAGUCUAACCGC
rnacentral:rRNA from 1 species